GCAUCCCUUUUCCCUCUCUUCCUCUCUUUCCCAUUCUUGCAGCCAACCCCCUCCCUCUCUUCCUCCCUCCCCCAUUGCUGCAUCCGCCCCCCAUCACACCAAACCCUAGUCGCCCUCACCAUUUCCUCCUCCCCAAGGUGCAGCCAACUCUUCCCCUUUGGAUCUCUCUUGAGUUGGUGCAAGUCUCCAUUGGAAGUUGGUGGGUGGGAGAAGAGAGAGGUGAAGGAAGAACUCAAGGUGAUCUUGUGUUUUAUUUUGUAUUUGUGCUGUAAUUACAUUUGAUUAUCCGUUCACCUAGGCGAAUUGGUAGUAGUGCUGUCCUAAUUUUGGUAGCGGGCGGACAUCAUUAGUGUUGGUAAUUUCUGGAAUUUUGCAGGGGCAAUUUGCAGUAAUCACUGUGAAAAUCAUGUAGAGCUUUGUCAUAUCUUUCCUUAGAGUACUUAUGCAUUCGAUUCGGUGGAAUAUUCUAGGAGAUAUCACAUUUUGAACUUAGCUAGGUUGUUGUCUAAAAACUGAACGCAGGGUGUACUUUGUUGGCUAUUUGGGGCCAUCGAGAUGUUGGAAUUUAAUUAUCUUUUGAAUACGAAACUUAUAGAGAGUUUUAUGUAGAUGUUUUUGGAGUUUUUGUUUGAUAUCGCUGUUGUUAUAAUUUUAAUGUUAUGAAAUUAUCAAGCAGCGCUGCUGCAGUUUGGUGGGUGAUGGGGAGACUUGUUGGUCGCGACGGGUUGGAAUUGUGCGUAGACGCGACAUUGAUUAUUAACGAUUGUUAUGUGAAUAUGUGCACUAAGUUGUGUGUCAAAACAGGUGGUGGACCUCCGGAUCGUACUUAGUACCAUUCCAAAUUCCCGUUGAAGGCAUGUAAAAACAGGGAUGGUUAUACCAUUCGGUUGUAUUAUGUGCCCUGUUCUUGAACUUAUAUAUAGUAUCGAAUGUGUUUAUUAUUGAAUUCCAUUAUAAGAAUUGUUGUUUGAAGUUAUUCAUGUUCUACUGUUUUAAAUACGUUGAGGGCAUUGUUCGAGCAUGUUAUAUGUGUUGAUUCCUAUCUUGAGGAAGUGGAAAUAUCUAUUUAACACAUGUUAAAUGGGGUGGACUUAUGUUGGUUUGUCAUGCAUAGUGCAUCCAUCAUUCUUUGCAUUGAAGUUUUGUCGCAAUCAUAUGGUCCGGCCGUACUGGUACAAUAAGCAUCGUACGUUGACCGAGGAGGGGUACGAUGCAGCUUCAUAUCCCUAGAGGUAUGAAGGUAGAAGUCAUUAUUGUAUUUGUAGUCAUAUGCACUCAUGGGGAAUAUGUGGAACAUGUCAUGGAUAUAUGUUAAUAUUGUGGAUCUCCUCUUUGUGAUUUUGGAACUGGGUGUUUGGUAAAACACUAUUUUUACGUUGUCCAACUGUUGCUUGAUCAUUAACUUGCUGAGAUGUGUCGUCUCACUCGUGCAUUGUUUGAUGCAGGCACUUGAUCCUUGCUUGGGGAAAGGAGAGAAG
rnacentral:lncRNA from 1 species